AUUGAACGCUGGCGGUAGGCCUAACACAUGCAAGUCGAACGGCAGCACAGUAAUAGCUUGCUCUUUCGGGUGGCGAGUGGCGGACGAUUGAUAAAUACAUCGGAAUCUACUUUUUCUUGGGUGAUAACGUAGGCAAACUUACCCUAUUACCGCAUACGACCUACGUGUGAAAUCAGAGGAUCUUCGGACCUUGCGUGAUUGUAUGACCCGAUGUCGGAUUAGCUAGUUGGCGGGGUAAAGGCCCACCAAGGCGACGAUCCGUAGCUGGUCUGAGAGGAUGAUCAGCCACACUGGAACUGAGACACGGUCCAGACUCCUACGGGAGGCAGCAGUGGGGAAUAUUGGACAAUGGGCGAAAGCCUGAUCCAGCCAUACCGCGUGGGUGAAGAAGGUCUUCGGGUUGUAAAGCCCUUUUGUUGGGAAAGAAGAGCAGCAGGUUAAUACCCCGCUGUUCUGACGGUACCAAAAGAAUAAGCACCGGCUAACUUCGUG
rnacentral:rRNA from 1 species